CACUUGUUACUUAUUAGAGAAAUUUGCUAUAAAAAAUCGAUAAACCUCGAAAUAUCUUACUUUUGUUUGUGUUUAUCAGUUUGUAUACCGUCAUAGAUGUAAUUUUUAAAAAAUAUGAAUUAUUUAAAUUAUCUUGUUAGAUAAGAUAUUAGAUCAAGGUGCAGCUAAUACAGAAGGUUAAAGUGAAUUACAAUAUAUUUUUAUAGGUGUGUGGAGAGAGGGUGGAAUUAAUUCUUUUGAAAGUGGAUUUAAUAGUAAUAAUAUUUUAAUAAGUUAUUAUGACUAUAGUUCUGGAGUAUGU
rnacentral:rRNA from 1 species